rnacentral:rRNA from 1 species
AACGAACGCUGGCGGCAGGCUUAACACAUGCAAGUCGAACGCCCCGCAAGGGGAGUGGCGCACGGGUGAGUAACGCGUGGGAAUAUGCCCUUCGGUUCGGAAUAACACAGGGAAACUUGUGCUAAUACCGGAUACGAUCUACGGAUGAAAGAUUUAUCGCCGAGGGAGUAGCCCGCGUAGGAUUAGCUAGUUGGUGAGGUAAUGGCUCACCAAGGCGACGAUCCUUAGCUGGUCUGAGAGGAUGAUCAGCCACACUGGGACUGAGACACGGCCCAGACUCCUACGGGAGGCAGCAGUGGGGAAUAUUGGACAAUGGGCGAAAGCCUGAUCCAGCCAUGCCGCGUGAGUGAUGAAGGCCUUAGGGUGUAAAGCUCUUUCGCCAGGGAAGAUAAUGACGGUACCUGGAAAAGAAGCCUCGGCUAACUCCGUGCCAGCAGCCGCGGUAAU